AGAGAACGCAGGUGACGGUGAGAAUUUUGUUAGCUAGAUCAUUUAAGUUGGCAUAUUCUUGAUGGUUCACAGUCAAGCAACUAAUGGUAGAAGAAAUGACGAAACUCACAGAAAGGGCCGAGUUAGGGGUCGUGGUGAUAUCGCAGGGAAUUACACUACCAUUUCGAGAAUUUUAAGAGAACCCACUCCUGGAAGGAAUGUUAGUCCACCUUUACAAUCGCAUGAGGGUAGUACUGCUCAAACACUUUCUUUCAUGAAAAAGUCAUUGACGGCUUAGUGACCGAUUGGAUAGACAAGAAUGGGUUGGUCAACAUAAUUCUGCACAGGCAUAACCACAUUUACAGUCACCUGAACAGACUUACAAGUUUGGAAACAAAAAGGUAUCCUUGUAGGAGUUUUGAAGUUGAAAUCACCAAAAUUCACAAGUUCAGAUAGUCCGUUGAUCCUCAAAGCUUUGGAUGGUACAUUCAAGGCACUACGUGUGCUAGGAUGUUUUAGUGAGAGGGCUGUGGAGCUUGCAUUGUACAAAUUGGAGGACAUGACUAACACUUGGUAUGAUACUUUAUUGCUAGGAAGGCCUAUUGGAGCGGCACCACUGAUAUGGGAUGUGUUCACUAAGUUCUUCAUGAAUAACUUUCUUUCUGACUAUCAGAAGCAGAAAUAGGCAGAUCAGUUUGAGAAAUUAGUCCAGACUCCAGAUAUGUACGUGUCGACUUAUAAUACCAAAUUCUGCAAGCUGGCUAGAUAUGCUUCGUACUUGGUGUCCAUAGAAGCAGUUCGAGUCCAAAAGUUUGUUAAUGGGCUGGUUGCUCAUCUAUAAUGCAAUUACCCCACAGAUGAAAGUCUUGACCUAUUAUGAGAUAGUGUAUCUUGUUAGAAAAAUUGAGGACAAGGGUCUUGCUGAGCGGGCAGCUUAUGAUGUUCGUAAGAAGGCCAAGAUGGGAAGAUCUUUCUGUGGUGACUUUAGUGCAAAUCGCAGAGAGGAAAAUCGGGGAAAAUAGCAGGGCCAAAUUCUUUUUCACAGUUUGCAUACAAGCCACCUUCUAGACAGGGUACUCAGGGGUCUUCAACAUCUCAUGGAUGUCGUAGUUCUAGGCAGAUGCAUGUCACUACUCCAUCUUUCCAGAUUUGCGGCAAAUCACAUGUGGGCUAGUGCCUUGUUUUAACUGGAGAGUACUUUUGAUGUGGUCAAUUGGGUCAUCGCAUCAGGGAUUGUCCUCAGCUUUUGAGAAAUGUUAGUCAAGAUUUUGGUCAGUUAGAUGCACCGAUUCAGGUUACUUGUAAUAUUGCAGGUACUGGAAAUAGAGGUCGAGCUAAUGGAGAUUGGGUUGCUAGAAUUUCGUCAACAAUGCUCUUAGUCUUUGACAUUUCAAGUAGACAGAAACAAACUCUUGAUCUGUUCAUCAUUGAAAAUUCUCUUAGCUAUAGGAAUGGUGCAAACUGGGUGCGGUUCUUUGAUGAAGCUAUGUCAAUACACAAGGAACGAUUUUUUUGGGGACAAAGAAUAGACAAGUGGAAAACUACACUUAGAGUAGCUGCAAAUUUAUCUGGAUGAGAUUUGCAAAAUGUUUCUAACGGCAUGCGUCUGAAUUUAUGGAGAAUCUUAUAGAACAGGUCAUGCAAGAUGCCAACCAGACAUCUCAAGAUGUUGCUUGGAACCCCGUUGGGAGUAGAUACUCUGUAUCAAAGGUAUAGAGUUAAUAUUGGAAAAUGAAUGUGUAGAUGAAGUUCACAUGGUUGGUCUACUUGGCAAAAGGAAUCUACAAUCGAAUAUUUCAAUAAUUUUGGUGUUUGUUAGUUGUUCCCUUUCAAAUGUUGGAUCAGAAGCUGAAACAUUUAACGGCUUAAAGAUGUCAAAGUUAAACAGUGUUAUUGAAGGCAUCAAAUUAAUCAAAGCAAGACUAGGGUCAAAGAAGGUUCUUAUUAUUCUUGAUGACAUUG